rnacentral:lncRNA from 10 species
AAACGCCUAAACCGCAGUGGCCAGGCGUUCCUCCAGAACCGCCUCCCCCAGGAGCUUGCUACAAGUGCCAGAAAUCUGGCCACCAGGCCAAGGAAUGCCCGCAGCCCAGGAUUCCUCCUAAGCCGUGUCCCAUCUGUGCAGGACCCCACUGGAAAUCGGACUGUCCAACUCACCUGGCAGCCACUCCCAGAGCCCCUGGAACUCUGGCCCAAGGCUCUCUGACUGACUCCUUCCCAGAUCUUCUCGGCUUAGCAGCUGAAGACUGAUGCUGCCCGAUUGCCUCGGAAGCCCCGUAGACCAUCACGGACACCAAGCUUUAAGUAACUCUCACAGUGGAAGGUAAGUCCGUCCCCUUCUUAAUCAAUACGGAGGCUACCCACUCCACAUUACCUUCUUUUCAAAGGCCUGUUUCCCUUGCCUCCAUAACUGUAGUGGGUAUUGACAGCCAGGCUUCUAAACCUCUUAAAACUCCCCAACUCUGGUGCCAACUUAGACAAUAUUCUUUUAUGCACUCCUUUUAGUUAUCUCCACCUGCCCAGUUCCCUAAUUAGGCCGAGACACUUCAAAUUAUCUGCUUCCCUGACUAUUCCUGGAUUACAGCUGCAUCUCAUUGCCGCCCUUCUUCCCAAUCCAAAGCCUCCUUUGCAUCCUCCUCUUGUAUCCCCCCACCUUAACCCAAAGGUAUAAGAUACCUCUACUCCCUCCUUGGCGACCAAUCAUGCACCCCUUACCAUCUCAUUAAAAUCUAAUCACCCUUACCCCGCUCAAUGCCAAUAUCCCAUCCCACAGCAUGCUUUGAAAGGAUUAAAGCCUGUUAUCACUCGCCUGUUACAGCAUGGCCUUUUAAAGCCUAUAAACUCUCCUUACAAUUCCCCCAUUUUACCUGUCCUAAAACCAGACAAGACUUACAGGUUAAUUCAGGAUCUGCGCCUUAUCAACCAAAUUGUUUUGCCUAUCCACCCUGUGGUGCCAAACCCAUAUACUCUCCUAUCCUCAGUACCUCCCUCCACAAUCCAUUAUUCUGUUCUGGACCUCAAACAUGCUUUCUUUCCUAUUCCUUUGCACCUGUCAUCCCAGCCUCUCUUUGCUUUCACUUGGACUGACCCUGACACCAAUCAGGCUCAGCAAAUUACCUGGGCUGUACUGCCUCAAGGCUUCACAGACAGACCCCAUUACUUCAGUCAAGCCCAAAUUUCAUCCUCAUCUGUUACCUAUCUUGGCAUAAUUCUCAUAAAAACACACGUGCUCUCCCUGCUGCUUGUGUCCGAUUAAUCUCCCAAACCUCGAUCCCUUACAAAACAACAACUCCUUUCCUUCCUAGGCAUGGUUAGUUCGGUCAGAAUUAUUACACAAGAGCCAGGCCCGCACCCUGUAGCCUUUCUGCCCAAACAACUUGACCUUACUGUUUUAGCCUAGCCCUCAUGUCUCCGUGCAGCGCGUGCCGCUGCUUUAACACUUUUAGAGGCCCUCAAAAUCACAAACUAUGCUCAACUCACUCUCUACAGCUCUCAUAAUUUCCAAAAUCUAUUUUCUUCCUCACACCUGACGCAUAUACUUUCUGCUCCCUGGCUCCUUCAGCUGUACUCACUCUUUGUUAAGUCCCACAAUGACCAUUGUUCCUGGCCCGGACUUCAAUCCGGCCUCCCACAUUAUUCCAGAUACCACACCUGACCCCCAUGACGGCAUCUCUCUGAUCCACCUGACAUUCAUCCCAUUUCCCCACAUUUCCUUCUUCCCUGUUCCUCACCCUGAUCACGCUUGAUUUAUUGAUGGCAGUUCCACCAGGCCUAAUCGCCACACACCAGCAAAGGCAGGCUAUGCUAUAGUACAAGCCACUAGCCUGCCUCUUAGAACCUCUCACUUCCUUUCCAUUGUGGAAAUCUAUCUUCAAAGAAAUAAAUUCUCAGUGUUCCAUCUGCUAUUCUACUACUCCUCAUGGAUUAUUCAAGCCCCCUCCCUUCCCUACACAUCAACUCGAGGAUUUGCCCCCACCCAGGACUGGCAAAUUAGCUUUACUCAACAUGCCCCGAGUAAGAUAACUAAAACACCUCUUAGUCUAGGUAGACACUUUCACUGGAUAAGUAGAGUCCUUUCCUACAGGGUCUGAGAAGGCCACCACAGUCAUUUCUUCCCUUCUGUCAGACAUAAUUCUUCAGUUUAGCCUUAUCAUUCCCUUCUGUCAGACGUAAUUCCUCAAUUUAGCCUUCCCACCUCUAUACAGUCUGAUAACAGACCAGCCUUUAUUUGUCAAAUCAGCCAAGCAUUUUUUCAGGCUCUUAGUAUUCAGUGACAGACUAAAACACACCUCACCAACCUCAGCCACCAACUUAAAAAGGACUGGACAAUAUUUUUACCACUUUCGCUUCUCAGAAUUCAGGCCUGUCCUCAGAAUGCUACAAGAUACAGCCCAUUUAAGUUCCUGUAUAGACACUCCUUUUUAUUAGGCCCCAGUCUCAUUCCAGACACCAGACCAACUUAGACUGUGCCCCCAAAUAACUUGUCAUCCCUACUAUCUUCUGUCUAGUCAUACUCCUAUUCACCGUUCUCAACUACUCAUGCAUGCCCUGCUCUUGUUUACACUGCCAGUUUACACAGUUUCUCCAAGCCAUCACAGCUGAUAUCUCCUCGUGCUAUCCCCAAACUGCCACUCUUAACUCUUGAAGUAAAUAAAUAAUCUUUGCUGGCAAGGCUAUGCUGAACCUCCUUAGGCACUCUCUAAUUAGAUGUCCUAGGUCCUCCCAAUUCUUAGUCCUUUAAUACCUGUUUUUCUCCUUCUCUUAUUCCGUUUAGUUUUUCAAUUCAUACAAAACCGUAUCCAGGCCAUCACCAAUCAUUCUACACGACAAAUGUUUCUUCUAACAACCCCACAAUAUCACCCUUUACCACAAAAUCUUCCUUCAGCUUAAUCUCUCCCACUCUAAGUUCCCACGCCGCCCCUAAUACCGCUGGAAGCAGCCCUAAGAAACAUCACCCAUUAUCUCUCCAUACCACCCCCAAAAAUUUUCACUGUCCCAACACUUUACUACUAUUUCAUUUUAUUUUUCUUAAUAUAAGAAGACAGGAAUGUCAGGCCUCUGAGCCCAAGCUAAGCCAUCAUAUCCCCUGUGACCUGCACGUACACAUCUAGAUGGCCGGUUCCUGCCUUAACUGAUGACAUUCCACCACAAAAGAAGUGAAAAUGGCCUGUUCUUGCCUUAACUGAUGACAUUGUCUUGUCAAAUUCCUUCUCCUGGCUCAUCCUGGUUCAAAAGCUCCCCUACUGAGCAUCUUGUGACCCCCACUCUGCCCUCCAGAGAACCCCCCUUUGACUAUAAUUUUCCUUUAUCUACCCAAAUCCUAUAAAAACAGCCCCGCCC